ensembl:lncRNA
GUCAGACAGACAGACGAACCCAAAACAUGUCAGGGUUGCGGUGUCAUAUGUCGCUGCCCGUGUCGGUGGGGGUCUUGUUGGUGGGCCUCCCUUACUCCAUCUCUCUAGCUGCCCAGUGGCUUUACGGCUGGCCCAGCAAGCCGGGAUACAAGAAGUACAUAGAAGCUCUGAAACCACGACGAAUAUACUGUUUGACCAGAGCUGUGCUGGAGACUCUCAAAUACCUGCAAUAUGGGCGACUUUACUUUCAGUGGAAGUCAUGGUACAAGAAUGAGGAAAACCGCAAGCACUAUGAGAAGGGCAUCACAUUUGGCCGCAGAAGCAACAAGCUGGACUUGUACCACCCUCCAAACGUGGACGGGUCCAAAGGUGUGCCGGCGCCGCUGGUGGUGUUCAUCUACGGGGGAGCGUGGGGCUCCGGAGAUCGAUCCAUUUACUGUUUGCUGGCGAGGCAGAUGGCGAAAGAACUGAGUGCAACUGUCAUUUGUCCCGAUUACUUUGUCUAUCCGAAGGCGAACGUUUUAGGCAUGAUCCAAGAUAUUGUGGACUGCCUCAUUUGGGCCCGAGAGAGUGGACAGAAGUUCAACUUUGAUAAAGACAACAUAGUAUUAAUCGGCCAUUCGGCAGGUGCUCAUUUGUGCACAUUGGCCGCGCUGUUUCUCAUUGACGGACGAGAGGAGCUUUUCAUAGAGGCAAGCAAGCAGGUGGACGUCACAGAGGCCAUAAGAGGAGUCAUUGGUCUGAGUGGCGUGUACAACAUCGUGGACCAUUACGAGCACGAGCAGAAGCGGGGAGUCGAGUACGUCUCCACCAUGCACAAAGCCAUGAAUGGAGUGGAGAACUUCCCGUACUACUCGCCGACACACUUACUGAAGAGGCUGAGCCGGGACAAGCUGGACAGAAUCCCUCCGUUUGCUCUGCUCCACGGGACCGACGACAUCAUCGUCCCCUUCGAUUCCUCCGCAAAGUUCUGCGACCUCCUCACCUCGCUGUCCGUGAAGGUGUCGCUCUACCUGCUCCCCAGGGUCGACCACACCGAGAUCGUCACCGACCUCAUGGUGCCCGACCGCCGCUUCUACCAUCCCAUCUACAGCUGCAUCAAGCAGGAGCACAGGAAGCUGCUGGGGGCCUGGUGACGACCCGUCAGGAGAACACCCACCACUCAUCCAUCCAUCACUCGUAUUUACUGAUUGUGCCAUAUACUUGCUUUGUUUACGUCCCAUGCUCUAAUACCUCAACAUGAAUCGUGUUUAGCAUGGAUUUUUACUUGAUUGUGAUUCCGUGAUCAUGAUGUUUUUGAACAGAUUUUAAUUUGGUAAAUCUAAGGGUUACAUGUCAGUGAUUUUUCAUCUACAUUCUUUAAAAAUAAUAUUCCUUGUGGAAUGCAGUGUAGAUAACAUCAUUCUAAUGUUGUGUUGGAGAGAUGUUAGCUAGCUCACAGUAAAGGGAAAUCAAUCCAUAAGUGUUAUAAAAAGGACAGUGAAGCAGACUGAUACAUGCCGUGCAGUGAUACUGAUAAAGGAGCACAGUUACGACAGUACUGACUGCAACAUUUUGUCUAAUUGACUUUGGUGUUUUUAUUCAAUUAAAUUGUAAUAUAUUUUCCUGAAAAAAUAUUUAUUCAUAGUAGACACAUUAAACUCAUUUGAAUUAAACUAAUAUGACUACAAAUUGCUUGCACAAUGGAAUAUUGUACUUAAAUGUUUUGCCCAGCAAAAGCACUUAAAGAUUGUUAAUUGUACAAUUUUACAUUGUUUUUACCAUGUGCUUGUACUUUUGUUUCGGAAAGUUUUGUAUCAGAAGCGUGUCCCAUACAUACCAUACAUUUAAAAUGUCAUCAGGUAAUGGUUGUUGAAAACAUAAAUAUACUUUGUUGCAAUGUAUAAAACUCCAUUAAACCAUAUAAUGUAAGAGAACAUGCACAUUAUGAUUCCAUUCCAUGCAGUCACUGCAUAUGAGCGCCUAAUGGAAGUGAAAAUGGCCAUGGGACAUGUAACCAAAUAUUAGCACUGCUCUAUGUACUGUAUAUUUUUGACCCAGCAGAUGUUGUCACUUUUUCUGUUAACCCAUAAUAAAGUCAUAAAAGAUCCAAGCUUCAUGAAUGUUAUUUGUGACAAAGAAGUAUCUGUUCACAGAAAAAUCUGACUUGUAGAAAUCAGUGAAAACUAACAAGAGAGCCGUGACAUUAUGUUCUUUAGAAGUGAAUGUAAACUUUUGACCACAACUGUACAUGUAUCUACAUACAUAUACAUUCAUUACAUAAAUUAAAGCUUUGUUCAUGGCUACAUUUUGCUGCAGGGACGGAAUUUAGAUUAUCGGGUAUUUUCCUUUAGGCAAUUAGAAGUAUCAGUGGUGCGCACAUUGUACUGAGCUGAGUUCACGUGACGUCAACCAUUGGUUUGUGGAAUGCUCUCAGGUUAGGCAUUCUGGCCAGCUUAGUUGUAUAUAUUUUAGGAAUAUAUAUAUAUAUAUAUUCCUAAAAUCAGGUGGAUGACAUUUUUGCCCAAGACCAGGUUGAAUCUUUACAAGGACAUUUACAUUUUUAAAAUGUAAUAUUACCUUUCAUUUCCUUUAUUUCUUUGUUAGAGCUCAAGGAGAAUAGUUGGGGCAACGGACCGGGUGGUUCACCACUGCCUUGAAUUGACCUGAAUCCUGGAGGGUUGAAUACAAAAAGUAAAAUAUAUCUGCAUGUCACAAGCAUGCAUCUAAUAUGUAAAAUCUAAAUACGGUUCAUUAAAAACUCGUAGUUCUACCAAUUUCUCUAGCUUUUAUUUUGAAAGCUGAGUUUAACACGCUUUAUUUGAGAAGAAACUCGCACACGUGCGGGCGGGGCGGAGCUUUGCGAGGACUCGCGUCGGUCCAGUGCGCUUCAGGCGGCAGAGCUUCACAGCUAAAGAAGUGACAAACAUGUCUGCUCAAAUGUAACCCUACAUGUACGGCAACAUUCGUGUUCCCACCGGGAGAACAAAGAUGGACCGCGGCGGGGAAAGCAGGGAAUCGUGGCUCCGCGCGCUGCUGUGGUGGUCGCUCCUGUUCGAGCUGGCGUCGGGAG